GAUGAACGCUGGCGGCGUGCUUAACACAUGCAAGUCGAACGGUGAAGCAGGAGCUUGCUCUUGUGGAUCAGUGGCGAACGGGUGAGUAACACGUGAGCAACCUGCCCCUGACUCUGGGAUAAGCGCUGGAAACGGCGUCUAAUACUGGAUAUGUGAUGUGACCGCAUGGUCUGCAUCUGGAAAGAAUUUGGGUUGGGGAUGGGCUCGCGGCCUAUCAGCUUGUUGGUGAGGUAAUGGCUCACCAAGGCGUCGACGGGUAGCCGGCCUGAGAGGGUGACCGGCCACACUCGGACUGAGACACGGCCCAGACUGAUACGGGAGGCAGCAGUGGGGAAUAUUGCACAAUGGGCGGAAGCCGGAUGCAGCAACGCCGCGUGAGGGAUGACGGCCUUCGGGUUGUAAACCUCUUUUAGCAGGGAAGAAGCGAAAGUGACGGUACCUGCAGAAAAAGCACCGGCUAACUACGUGCCAGCCGCCGCGGUAA
rnacentral:rRNA from 1 species